UACGGAGGGCGCAAGCGUUGUUCGGAAUCACUGGGCGUAAAGCGCGUGUAGGCGGCUUGGCAAGUCGGAUGUGAAAUCCCGAGGCUCAACCUCGGAACUGCACUCGAAACUGCCUGGCUCGAGUCCCGGAGAGGGUGGCGGAAUUCCCGGUGUAGGGGUGAAAUCCGUAGAUAUCGGGAGGAACACCAGUGGCGAAGGCGGCCACCUGGACGGUGUCUGACGCUGAGUCGCGAAAGCGUGGGGAGCACACAGG
rnacentral:rRNA from 1 species